GACGAACGCUGGCGGCGUGCUUAACACAUGCAAGUCGAACGGAAAGGCCCUGCUUGCCGGGUACUCGAGUGGCGAACGGGUGAGUAACACGUGUGUGAUCUGCCCUGCACUUCGGGAUAAGCCUUGGAAACUGGGUCUAAUACCGGAUAGGAGCCAUUUUUAGUGUGAUGGUUGGAAAGUUUUUUCGGUGUAGGAUGAGCUCGCGGCCUAUCAGCUUGUUGGUGGGGUAAUGGCCUACCAAGGCGGCGACGGGUAGCCGGCCUGGGAGGGUGGACGGCCACAUUGGGACUGGGAUACGGCCCAGACUCCUACGGGAGGCAGCAGUGGGGAAUAUUGCACAAUGGGCGCAAGCCUGAUGCAGCGACGCCGCGUGGGGGAUGACGGCCUUCGGGUUGUAAACUCCUUUCGCUAGGGACGAAGCUUUUUGUGACGGUACCUAGAUAAGAAGCACCGGCUAACUACGUG
rnacentral:rRNA from 1 species